AAGGUUUCCGUAGGUGAACCUGCGGAAGGAUCAUUACCGAGUGAGGGCCCUCUGGGUCCAACCUCCCACCCGUGUCUAUCGUACCUUGUUGCUUCGGCGGGCCCGCCGUUUCGACGGCCGCCGGGGAGGCCUUGCGCCCCCGGGCCCGCGCCCGCCGAAGACCCCAACAUGAACGCUGUUCUGAAAGUAUGCAGUCUGAGUUGAUUAUCGUAAUCAGUUAAAACUUUCAACAACGGAUCUCUUGGUUCCGGCAUCGAUGAAGAACGCAGCGAAAUGCGAUAAGUAAUGUGAAUUGCAGAAUUCAGUGAAUCAUCGAGUCUUUGAACGCACAUUGCGCCCCCUGGUAUUCCGGGGGGCAUGCCUGUCCGAGCGUCAUUGCUGCCCUCAAGCACGGCUUGUGUGUUGGGCCCCCGUCCCCCUCUCCCGGGGGACGGGCCCGAAAGGCAGCGGCGGCACCGCGUCCGGUCCUCGAGCGUAUGGGGCUUUGUCACCUGCUCUGUAGGCCCGGCCGGCGCCAGCCGACACCCAACUUUAUUUUUCUAAGGUUGACCUCGGAUCAGGUAGGGAUACCCGCUGAACUUAAGCAUAUCAAUAAGCGGA
rnacentral:rRNA from 1 species